AGGAUUAUAAUAAAAUAUAAUAUUUAUUUUGCUAAUAAAAAAAAUUAAUUAAUAAUUAAUUUUUUCUCAAA
rnacentral:tRNA from 1 species